rnacentral:rRNA from 1 species
GCGCGAAAACUUUACAAUGCUGGCAACAGCGAUAAGGAACCUCGAGUGCCAGGUUACAAAUCUGGCUGUCGAGAUGCCUAAAAAGCAUUUCAUAGCAAGGGCCGGGCAAGACCGGUGCCAGCCGCCGCGGUAACACCGGCGGCUCGAGUGGUAACCGUUAUUAUUGGGUCUAAAGGGUCUGUAGCCGGCCGGAUAAGUCUCUUGAGAAAUCUGGCAGCUUAACUGUCAGGCUUUCAGGAGAUACUGUCUGGCUCGAGGCCGGGAGAGGUGAGAGGUACUUCAGGGGUAGGGGUGAAAUCUUGUAAUCCUUGAAGGACCACCAGUGGCGAAGGCGUCUCACCAGAACGGACCUGACGGCAAGGGACGAAAGCUAGGGGCACGAACCG